GAAAAUUAGGUUUACAUUCAUUCAUUCACUUCACAAAAUAUUUUGAGAGGUAGAGAGAGAAAGUAAAUCACAAGAGAAAAAGAGGAGAAGAAUAGAUAAAGGGUUAGAGAGGAGAAAAGCCUGAGGAGAAGAAGAGGCUGGAGACUCGAGGAGCUAAAGUGAAGCCAUAGCUAAGAUUUUGCAAGCUAGAGGUAAGGGGGAUAUAACCUUUCUCUCAAUUAAGCUAUAAUCUCUUCUUUUGCUUAUAUGAAUAAGUGCUUAUUUGUGAAUUAUGAUUUUUGUGAACUUUAAUGUCAAUUUUCGUACUCCUUAUUUGAUGAUAAGUUUGGGUAUGUUAAAUUGAUGCUAAGCUUGUUGUUGUUGAUUUUCCAUGGUUGAAGUAUGAUAAUAUAGACCUUUUAUGAUUUUUUCUUCAAUUGGUGAAAAUGAAGUUGUUGUUGUUGAUUGUUAAUGAACUCAUGAAAUAAUGCUUUGAAUGAUGUUGUGGUGUGUUGUUGAUAAAGAUUCGUUCCAUGGUUAUUGCUAAAUGUGUUGUUGUGGUUAAGUUGUUGUGUUUUUAUGAUUUUUGUGAAAAUGGGUUUGAUUACGAUUUUGGAUGUGAACUUGAUGAUUUGAGGUAGUGAAAGUGUUUGUUACAAGUGUUAAGAUCAUGGACAAUGUUUUGAAUUGAUUUGGGAGUAUUGUGAUUGAGUUUAGGGAUUUAAAAGGAGGUGUGUUAUUUGAACAACCAUUUGAUAGACAACUUAUUUGACAACCAUAAAUUUACAAAGGAAGAGUAGGUUUUGACACGAAAAUCAAAGCAAUAGAGAGAUAAAGUAAAAACAUAUGUCAGUAUGAGAGAGAAAGUUGUCAGAAAAGUUGUUACAAAAUGGUUGUAAAAAUAUCAUUUCUCAUUUAAAAGUGAUUAUUGGGUAAAAAAAAACACAUUUUUAAACUGUUUUUUGAAGUUUUAUGUUAACCCAAAAUCGGGCCCCGCAAUGCUAAAAUCGGCCAUUGAUUUUGAGCAGUUUUUCACACUUUUGGUUCGACAAAAAUUGGCCCCCGGUUUUUGUUAGACAUCCUGGGAAGAUUCAUCUUUUUUACCAUUUUCCAUUUUGAAAUGAGUCUCGGUGUACACAUGAAAGUUGUAGGUAUGGAAGUUAGCUUUCUAAUUGCUUUGGUUUGACUUCCAUAUGAUUUUUUGAUUUUUAUUUAUGAUGAAAAUACUACAGGUAGGUAUUGAUGCAUUUUUACAAAAAUUUAGCAUAAUUAUUUUUAAGUGAACCCAAAAGUUAUGGUUUGGUCCCAAACCCCAAAACUUGGUUACUAGGAGUUUGAUUAGGAUGUGUAGGGAUAAUUAACCUAUGAUAUGAUGGAUCAACUUGGUUUUGAUUUGAAAAUGAAUUGGUUUUGAAAAGUGUUUAGAAAAAUAGACGAACUUAGUUAAAAUGUGGUUUCAUGACAGAAUAACUUGCAAUUGGCUUUAUGUUCAUGAUGAUAUAAUAAACUAAGGAUGAAUCAAUAAGGACUGGGUGUUUAAUAUGAUGCAUAUCAUGGUGUGAUUAGUUGUCCGUCUUGGUUGUGCAAUGUGAAUUUGAAACGAUAAUGUUUCUUUAAGGUAAUAGAUGUUGAUGACAAUUAUGCUAACAAUUGUUUGGGUGAAUUUAAUUUGAUAACUUUGAUGGUGACUCUUGUUGAAUUAUGACAUGUCGAUUAUGUGGAUUGUAAAACUUCAUAAUGCAUAUGGUGUUGAUUUAUGAAGAAUGUAAUUGGAGGUGUAGUUUUAUAUUGCUUUGGUGGUUAUAUAGUUGGUGUUAGGUGCAUUGUUGAGUCUUAUUUGAAGUCCAUAGUCAUAUGAGGAAUGUAAAAGGAGGUGUACUUUUACAUAGGUGAAAUACGUAAGAGGAGGUGUACUCUUACUUGGGUGUGGAUUCAAUACAAUAAGAUUAUCUCUGGAAUUCAAUUUUUACCACAUGCAUCUAGAGAAGAGUCCAUAACAUUGCAUGUAUUUGAAUAUUUGGUGAGUCGUGUCAUAAUUGAAUAUGCCACUUGGUGAAUUUGUGCAUUGGUGACAUUUGGUGAAUGUUGUGAUUAUGUGAAUUGUGUGGAGAUGUGUACUUGUUGAUGUUUGUUAUUUUUGGUGGUGCUUGUACACUUGGUGAUUUUAUUGAUGAUGAUUAUUGUAACACCCCGUUUUUCCCAACAUAAAAAUUUCGCAUAUAAUCAGAGUUUUUCAACAUAAACGGAAUGUCAUACUUCUUUUCUUAAAAUCAUAAACGGAAAUAAAUAACUAUUUAUCCUUCAAAAUUCGACAACAUAAUAUUUAAUAUUUCGCAGCGGAAUUUAUUAAACGUUAAACAAUCUUUGGCACGAAGGCCUCAUCAUAAAAAUCUCAUAAAAUCUAAUCAACAACUUAUUCAUGAAACUUCAUAAGGUAAUACGUAAGGAAUAGAAAGCAACAACAAAAUCCUAUCCCGUUACGUAUCAGAGCACCUAAGACACACGUGAGAGAGAAACCACUCACGACAACAACUAACAGCAACUACUCUCGAUCACCUACAAGUUACCCAUACGAAGGGCAACAUUUCCAAGCAGAAGGGGUGAGAUUUCACAAACAAUAAUAUUAAGCAUAUAAUUCAUCAUUUAUAUUUAACAACUUAAACAUCAUAAACAUAUCAUAAUAAUAAUCCUUCAUUAAGCACUUCAUUAAAAACAUAACAACUUAACAACUUGACUCGACAAUGCAACUUCGACUUGACUAUGCAACUUAUUCUUCUUAAUCAUGCAUGUGGUACCAAUCCAUGGCAUCAAGCCCCCAACUUAUUUGAGCAUAAAUACACUCCCAGGGCAUCAAUCCCUUAACUUAUUUGAGCAAAAGCUCACAGGGCAUCAAGCCCCCAACGUGUUGAGCGAAGGCUCCAGGGCAUCAAGCCCUCAACUUAAAUGAGUAUGCAUGGACUCAACAACGUGUACAACUUGGACAACAUCAACAACUUAAGACUCCAAUACUUUGGAACGACAUCUUACAUUUUAGACCGACACAUGCAGCUUAAUUAAUAUACAACAGCAACAUAGGCAACACAUAAACAUCUCAAGAGAUAACAAUAUCAAAUGAUAAUCAACAUCAACUUAAACAUCUUAUAUAAUUCACAUAAUGCAUAUACAAUUAUAUCACAUUACUAGUAACAUCACAUCAUAUUAUAUCAGACUCACUGAACAUUAACAAUACUAUAAUCAACCUCCAUUCCUACCCCAAGGGUCAUCUCAUAACCUCACAUGCGACAAAGAUCGCAAGAACCCUAAACAAGGUAGUCUGACACUGUGCAGCUAGCGAGGCGAUCCACUCUACUCGCUAUGGCGAGUUCAGGAAAAAGGCUACUCGCCUUGGCGAACAGAAACUAGGUGCUCUCGGGAACUUGACAUUUUUCACCCAAAAAUCCCAUUUUUAACUUCCCCAUGUUCAAUUUCAAUCCAAAAACUUGCCUAAUCAUUCUUAUACAUGUUCAGGCACUCAAAACCAUCUAAAACUCGACCCAAAAGGUUAAAUCACAAAAUCAUGGUUGACUCACUGAUCAACUUGCUAUGGCGAGUGAUCUGCUCGCAAUGGCGAGUGACAUCUGGGUUCACUCGCGAGGCGAAGAACAUUUCCUCGCGAGGCGAGCGAUGAACUUCAUCACUCGCGAGGCGAGACAUGCUGCUCACGAGGGCGAGCGAUGAAUUUCAGCUCGGGCAGAAUGCAGAUUUUCAUGAAAAUGCACCUAAUCACAUGGUUCUAAGCUUAAAACUGAUUCGAAACAUCACCCUAUGGAUUAUCUAAGGUCUGUACACACUUUCUACAUCAAAUCUACGAGUUUCCAUCAUCUAACCCUCAAUUAUCACUCUUAACCCUAAUUUCCAAUUCUCAAAAACUAACCCUACAACAUGUUAAAUCUAAUCAUCAGAAUCAUAGGCUUAAGAAGAUUGAAUGUUAGUUCCACCCUUACCUUGUUGAGAUGUGAUGAUAUUAUUUUGCUGCGAUGUUUUGAAAAUUUAUUUAUGCAUGUUUUAAAACUUAUAGAAGAAGUAACAUCUAAAUCUUUUGUAUGAUUUGUAUUAUUUGUGUGAUAUAUCGCUUUAAGGGUUUAUGAUGUUACAUUUACCGAGUUUAACACGUGUUAACUCGGUCAAAAACCGAGUUUACCUCUGAGUUAACAUAUUUUUGUCUCCUAAAAACAUGAACUUGAAUAAAUUUACGAAUUAACACUCAAUUUAUGGAACACUGAUCUACAAGCUUCCCUAGCCUCUCGAAGCAUACCCAAGUGUUAUCAAAGUCCUUCUAUAGGCUAAACCCACCCACUUGAAAAUGACUUGCCUAUUAUAAGCCUUUCAAGGAUUCUAUACCCAACUAUGCAAAUAUUAUAAUGGUUGUGUCUGAUAUAUGUACACAUUUAUGGGAUAAUUAUAUAACAGAUGAUAGAUAAUAUAAUUUCUUAAUUAUAAUAUGAUUAUUCCAUAAGAGAGGAUAUUCAAUGUACAUCUUACAUAAUAGAUUCUGUUCUAUAUAUUCAACCUGAAUACAAAAUUAAACCAUUUUAGAAGACAUGGACUAAGUCUUAAACUUGAGCUCCAUUUUUGGUCCAUGACUAGUUUGUCAACUUCAAACUAAUGCUGAAGAUAGAUUAAGUAGAUCUUUAUGAUAUAUAUCUUGGAAUAUCUUAUUGCUUAGUUGUUGGAGUGAUCUUAUUAUCAUCCGUUGAAGAUAGCAUGUACUUGUCCAUUGUCACUUUAGAAAAAGAUUCGUUGCAACCUUUUUAAGCAAAAACAAUAUUUUUUUUUCAUUGAAUAAUCAAUAUAUUUGGUAGAUGAAAUAUAUCAAUUAUUCAAUAAACCUAAAAAAUUGUUUUUUGUUUAUAAAUGUGAUCGGAGGAAGUAAAUUUGAUGGCUACUUUUGAGGGUGUAAGGUAUGAAAUUAUGAGCCUUUAAAAGAUCUUUGUUCUUUGAACUCAAUUUCCAUAUGAGUAGUGAUAUUUGAACAACCAUUUCAUACAACUUUUGGCGACAACUUUUUUUUCCUCUAUUUUCAUUGGUUAAAAAACAAUGGAGAGAGAAAAAGGAAUUGAGAGAAUAAGAGGAUAAUGUGAGUAUGAGAGAUAAAAUUGUCAAAAAAUUAUCACAAAGUAGAUGUACAAAUAUCAUUUCUCUUUCCGUAUUGUGUUGCUUUUCUAUAGUGAUUUCAUACAAUCAAAAAGCUAAGGCCUAUAUUGAUUUUUCUAUUCAAGCUUCUCAAAUGUUAUUCUCAUGCUGGCAAGAAGGAGAUCUUCAUUUCUUUUCUCAAAUAUCUUCUUUAGUUGAGAGAUGAGUACCAUAUAACCUACCCAUAUCCCUCUGGAUGAUGAGCUCUAAAUGUUCUCUAUAUAGUGAUGGACUCAAUAUUUAUACCUGGUCUAUUCUUACAUCAUAGUAGUAAAAAACGCGAUGCUCACCCUCUUCGAUCCAAAUCAAUUGUAAAAUAAAAAUAUGUGUAAAAUCGUAGUACAAUCACACAAGAACUUAAAAUCGCAAAAUUUUGAGUGAUUAUGUGGAGUUUUGGAUAAUGCCAAUUUGGGUUUGGCCAUUGCACACCGGGAUAAGUCAAAAUUAAAACCUGGUUUCCCAUAUAAAAUUUGUUGUGAAUUCGGACUCAAAAUCACACCAAUACAAACUAUGAUGUGUGGAGCAAAGGAAAGUAGUAACCAAUAUCAAAGUGAACACAAGCAACAACAAUAAUAACAAGACCUAGAUCUAAUCUAGUAAUCAAAGUGAAAAGCUCAAAACCACAAGCAAAAGAUAAAGAGAGAAGAGAGAAACAAACACACCAAAGAUUGUUGACCCAGUUCGGUCCAACUUGACCUAAUCUGGGGGAGAGAUUGAUCUCUCCAAUCCACUAUCAAUGAGUUCUUACAAAAGGGAUACAUAUGGGUUACAAGAAAUUAGCUUAAACAAGCUCACAAAGAACAACCCUAAUUUCUACCCAUUUUCUCAAUCUCACAAAUGAACAAGACACUCAAUGAUUUUCACUCACCCAAGGUGUUUACAAUGUUUCCCAACCCAAGAGAACUCUAAUCAAAGACUUUCAACCCUAAAGUUACCUCCUUUGAUUUUCCAAGUUUUCCUCUCUUGAAGUUCUAUCUCUUACUCCUUCAAAAAUGAGCUGAAACACUUAAAUAGUACACAGUGACAGACAAAAUCGCGCCGCGCCAGUAAAAAUCGCGCUACGGUUGAAGCGUACGACCCAAGGUACGACAACCUUAUCCACAAAUCGCGUCGCGCCUGUACAAAAUUGCGCCAUGAUUUGCUUCAGCAGAAACCAUCAAUUCUGCUAGCAAAAUCGCGCCACGAUUUUCAGCUUCCACAUCAUCACAAUUUGAAGACAAUUUCUACAAAAUUGAAAUCUGUUCUUCUCAUACUCACUCAGCCUCACAAAAACAAACCUUAACCAAACAUGACCUUAACUUAACCCUCUUUUGGCAAGUCGUUUGUCAUCGCUGGAUUCAACUCUGUUUUUCACAUAACCCUUUGUAAUGACUUCAACUGGUAAUUGAUAUUCUUCUUCUUCCUCCUCCUCUGCUAGAGCUGCAGUUCCAAAAAAUGCAACUGGAAAUAAGACCGAUUCAACAUGGCAAUACACUAUUUCCAUUAUGCAGAAUGAAAAAGGGUGAAGUGUAAAUUUUGUGAGCUUCCAUUUACUGGAAGUGCAUACAAAGUGAAGCAUCAUUUGCCUGGAACUAGAAUAGAUGUUCAUCCUUGUCAAAUGAUUCCUCUAGAUGUCAAAAAAGCUAUGUUGUUUUAAAUUUGGCUGGAACUAAUAGAGAGGGAACUAGUAGAGAUGAAAAACUUAUUUUGAAUUUAGUUUUUUUUAGUACUAAUGAACUUUGAAUUUUUAGCACUUAUGAACUUAGUCUUUUG
rnacentral:lncRNA from 1 species